AGGACAUAUCAUAUGAGCUGUUCAAAAUCUAGCAGAAGUUGGAUCAGAAAAUUUUUAUCCUUCAAAAACAAGAUGAUAUUCGUCAAGGCCAAGAAGAGAAGAUGAAAAACCUAACGGAGGAGAGCAAAGAAAAUUA